rnacentral:lncRNA from 1 species
UUCGAUGUUCAACCCUAGCCACCGAACCUUACACUUCUUCUUCUUCUUCGAUGUUCAACCCUAGCCACCGAACCUUACAUCUUAUUCUUCUCCAUCGAUCUUCUUCUUCUUCUUCUGCUUGUGUCUCUCUAAAUCAACUCUUCAAACCCUUCUCUUCUUUUAAUCAAACCCUCUGUUUUCUCUCUUCUUCUUCAAUUUUCUUCUUCUGAUUUUUUCUCUUCGAUCUUCAGUUAUGCCUAUAGCAAAGAGUAAAGGAAGAAAGAGAAGAGUUCCCAAUGUUUCACAAAGACUCGGAGGCUCUAAACCCCCCACCGCUGAGAGGCGAAAGAGCCCUCUACCGGCUCAGUACAAUUUCACACGGCGGUCCCAAUUCCUCCGCCUCAGACGCCCCAAGAGCCUACAUAGGUGGAGAACCAACCGUCACCGUCAGCAAUGCCCCAAAUCCGGAACUACCCACCG